rnacentral:rRNA from 1 species
CCUACGGGUGGCAGCAGUGGGGAAUAUUGGACAAUGGAGGCAACCCUGAUCCAGCCAUGCCGCGUGUGUGAAGAAGGCCCUCGGGUUGUAAAGCACUUUCAGUGAGGAAGAACGCCUGGUGGUUAAUACCCAUCAGGAAAGACAUCACUCACAGAAGAGGCACCGGCUAACUCCGUGCCAGCAGCCGCGGUAAUACGGAGGGUGCGAGCGUUAAUCGGAAUUACUGGGCGUAAAGCGCGCGUAGGUGGCUUGAUAAGCCGGUUGUGAAAGCCCCGGGCUCAACCUGGGAACGGCAUCCGGAACUGUCAAGCUAGAGUGCAGGAGAGGAAGGUAGAAUUCCCGGUGUAGCGGUGAAAUGCGUAGAGAUCGGGAGGAAUACCAGUGGCGAAGGCGGCCUUCUGGACUGACACUGACACUGAGGUGCGAAAGCGUGGGUAGCAAACAGGAUUAGAUACCCUUGUAGUC